rnacentral:lncRNA from 1 species
GAAUAAAUUGUGCAGUUUUUAGAAGAGAGACAAUAGACUCAGAGGAUAAUCAGCAUAGGUAGACAAGAACAAGAAGGCCUCUGGGCUCCAGUGUGAGUACCUGAAUGCAGGGGAGGUGGCAACUUUUUCUUUAUUCUUUCCCUCAGAUAGUUCAGACUUGAGUAAAUGAGAGAUGAGAAAGUUUUAUCCUAUAUGCAAAGAAUAAGAACUAUUACGGUAUACUAUCAAUGAUUAAUAGUAGUUAUAUGAGGGUUUUUAAAUUGAGUUAUGAUUGACAUAUAAAAAACUAUACAUAUUUAAUGUAUACAUGUUGAUGAGUUUGAAGAUAAGUAUACAACUGUGAGGCAUCAUAUUGUAAACAUAGAAAUGACCUAUAAAAGUUUCCUUCCUUCUCCUUUUGGUGGUAAGAUCAUUUAAUGUAAGAUACACCUUCUAAAAUUUUACACACACAAUACAAUAUUGUUAAUACAUUCUCUAUGCUACUAGGUAGACAUCUAGGACUUAUUCAUUUUGCAUAAAUGAAACAAUGUACCCUUUGACAAACCAGUCCUUCCCCU